rnacentral:lncRNA from 1 species
UUGGGGUGUGUGCAAAAAUCUGAAUUUUAGAUUUUUGAUCCUUUGAGUUUGAGAAGAGGAAAUAAAUUAGAAGAAAAUUAUUUUCUUCUCUAUCUUUUUUUCACCUCUUCAUCUCUUUCAAAAGUUUAUCUUCAAUCUCUAAAAAGAUUUUAGAGAUUUGAAGAAAGGAUCCAGAUCAGCCAAGAAGAAGAUCUUCGCACGAGCUAUCACUCUCGAGAAGAUCGAUCAGAUCGAGGCUUCGAGUGAAUUUUCCGUAGAGGUCGGAUGCAUAUGUGGCUAUAAGAAACUAGCAAAGACCUUCUCUACUAUAUUCUC